GCAUUCCUUCGGGGCAGGGUGAAAUUCCCAGACCGGUGGUACAGCCCACGAGUCUUUCUGCUAACUACAGACGACAUGAUCCGGUGUGAUUCCGGAGCCGACGGUACAGUCCGGAUACGCCAGUGGCGUAA
rnacentral:ncRNA from 2 species